CCUACGGGCGACAGCAGUGAGGAAUAUUGGUCAAUGGACGAGAGUCUGAACCAGCCAAGUAGCGUGAAGGAUGACUGCCCUAUGGGUUGUAAACCUCUUUUAUAGGGGAAUAAAAUGUGGCACGUGUGGGAUUUUGUAUGUACCAUAUGAAUAAGGAUCGGCUAACUCCGGGCCAGCAGCCGCGGUAAUACGGAGGAUCCGAGCGUUAUCCGGAUUUAUUGGGUUUACAGGGAGCGUAGGUCGAUUGUUAAGUCAGUUGUUCAAGUUUGCGGCUCAACCGUCAAAUUGCCGUUGAAACUGGCAGUCUUGAGUUCAGUAGAUGUGGGCGGAAUUCGUUGUGUAGCGGUGAAAUGCUUAGAUAUCACGUAGAACUCCGAUUGCGAAGGCAGCUCACUGGACUGCAACUGACACUGAGGCUCGAAAGUGUGGGUAUCAAACAGGAUUAGAUACCCUUGUAGUC
rnacentral:rRNA from 1 species